AUUGAACGCUGGCGGCAGGCCUAACACAUGCAAGUCGAACGGUAACAGGAAGCAGCUUGCUGCUUUGCUGACGAGUGGCGGACGGGUGAGUAAUGUCUGGGAAACUGCCUGAUGGAGGGGGAUAACUACUGGAAACGGUAGCUAAUACCGCAUAACGUCGCAAGACCAAAGAGGGGGACCUUCGGGCCUCUUGCCAUCGGAUGUGCCCAGAUGGGAUUGGCUAGUAGGUGGGGUAACGGCUAGCCUAGGCGGCGAUCCCUAGCUGGUCUGAGAGGAUGACCGGCCACACUGGAAAUGAGACACGGUCCCGACCCCUACGGGAGGCAGCAGUGGGGAAUAUUGAACAAUGGGAGCGAGCCUGAUGCAGCCAUGCCGAGUGUAUGAAGAAGGCCUUCGGGUUGUAAAGUACUUUCAGCGGGGAGGAAGGGAGUAAAGUUAAUACCUUUGCUCAUUGACGUUACCCGCAGAAGAAGCACCGGCUAACUCCGUG
rnacentral:rRNA from 1 species